rnacentral:rRNA from 1 species
GAUCAUGCUCAGGAUGAACGCUAGCUACAGGCUUAACACAUGCAAGUCGAGGGGCAUCAGUUUGGUUUGCUUGCAAACCAAAGCUGGCGACCGGCGCACGGGUGAGUAACACGUAUCCAACCUACCUCAUACUCGGGGAUAGCCUUUCGAAAGAAAGAUUAAUAUCCGAUAGCAUAUAUUUCCCGCAUGGGUUUUAUAUUAAAGAAAUUCGGUAUGAGAUGGGGAUGCGUUCCAUUAGUUUGUUGGGGGGGG